rnacentral:rRNA from 1 species
CCCUUAGAUGUUCUGGGCCGCACGCGCGCUACACUGAUGCAUUCAACGAGUCUAAAACCUGGUCUGAGAGGGCUGGGUAAUCUUUUGAAAGUGCAUCGUGAUUGGGAUAGAUGAUUGCAAUUCUUCAUCUUCAACGAGGAAUGCCUAGUAAACGCAAAUCAUCAAUUUGCAUUGAUUACGUCCCUGCCCUUUGUACACACCGCCCGUCGCACCUACCGAUUGAAUGGUCCGGUGAAAUCUCGGGAUUGUGGCCAGUUCACUUUAUUGGGAGUUGGCUGCGAGAACUUGCUUAAACCUUAUCAUUUAGAGGAAGGUGAAGUCGUAACA